rnacentral:rRNA from 1 species
UGCCAGACUCCUACGGGAGGCAGCAGUGGGGAAUAUUGCACAAUGGGGGGAACCCUGAUGCGGCGACGCCGCGUGGGUGAAGGAGCGUUUCGGCGCGUAAAGCCCUAUCGGCAGGGAAGAAGGAGGACGGUACCUGACUAAGAAGCCCCGGCUAACUACGUGCCAGCAGCCGCGGGAAUACAUAGGGAGCAAGCGUUGUCCGGAAUUACUGGGUGUAAAGGGAGCGUAGGCGGGGAUGCAAGUUGGGUGUCAAAACUACCGGCUCAACCGAUAGUCGCACUCAAAACUGCAACUCUUGAGUGAAGUAGAGGCAGGCGGAAUUCCUAGUGUAGCGGUGAAAUGCGUAGAUAUUAGGAGGAACACCAGUGGCGAAGGCGGCCUGCUGGGCUUUUACUGACGCUGAGGCUCGAAAGUGUGGGGAGCAAACAGGAUUAGAUACCCCAGUA